rnacentral:rRNA from 1 species
AUUGAACGCUGGCGGCAUGCUUUACACAUGCAAGUCGAACGGUAACAGGCCGCAAGGUGCUGACGAGUGGCGAACGGGUGAGUAAUGCAUCGGAACGUGCCCAGUCGUGGGGGAUAACGCAGCGAAAAUUGCGCUAAUACCGCAUACGAUCUAUGGAUGAAAGCGGGGGACCGUAAGGCCUCGCGCGAUUGGAGCGGCCGAUGUCAGAUUAGGUAGUUGGUGGGGUAAAGGCUCACCAAGCCGACGAUCUGUAGCUGGUCUGAGAGGACGACCAGCCACACUGGGACUGAGACACGGCCCAGACUCCUACGGGAGGCAGCAGUGGGGAAUUUUGGACAAUGGGCGCAAGCCUGAUCCAGCAAUGCCGCGUGCAGGAAGAAGGCCUUCGGGUUGUAAACUGCUUUUGUACGGAACGAAACGGUCCUGGUUAAUACCCGGGGCUAAUGACGGUACCGUAAGAGUAAGCACCGGCUAACUACGUGCCAGCCGCCGCAGUAACAC